GCCAGGCAGGGUGGGGGCAUGCCUGUAAUCCCAGCAGCUGGGGAGGCUGAGGCAGGAGGAUGGCAAGUUCAAGGCCAUCUGGAGAAUUCAGAAAGAUCUUCAGCAACUUAGUGAGAUCCUGUCUUAA
rnacentral:sRNA from 1 species